ACAGCUAUAUCAUGUCGAAACACCAGUUCUCGUCCAAUCACCGAAGUUAAGCAACGUCGAGUCUGGUUAUUACUUAGAUGGGUAACCGCUUGUGAAUGCCAGGUGUUGUAAG